rnacentral:rRNA from 1 species
AAUUUUGCGCAAUGGGCGAAAGCCUGACGCAGUAACGCCGCGUGGAGGAUGAAGGCCUUCGGGUUGUAAACUCCUGUCAGAGGGAACGACAGUAGUAGGGUGAAUAACCUUACUUUCUAGACGGUACCCUCAAAGGAAGCCCCGGCUAAUUCCGUCCCAGCAGCCGCGGUAAUACGGAAGGGGCAAGCGUUGUUCGGAAUCAUUGGGCGUAAAGGGCGCGUAGGUGGUCCUAUGUGUCUACUGUGAAAGCACACGGCUCAACCGUGUCGGGUCGGUAGAAACUGUAGGACUUGAGGCUGGGAGGGGCUGGUGGAAUUCCCUGUGUAGCGGUGAAAUGCGUAGAGAUGGGGGAGAACACUCGUGGCGAAGGCGGCCAGCUGGACCAGUCCUGACACUGAGGCGCGACAGCGUGGGGAGCAAACAGG